AAUGGACGAAAGUCUGAUGGAGCAACGCCGCGUGAGCGAUGAAGGCCUUCGGGUCGUAAAGCUCUGUUGUUAGGGAAGAACAAGUAUCGGAGUAACUGCCGGUACCUUGACGGUACCUAACCAGAAAGCCACGGCUAACUACGUGCCAGCAGCCGCGGUAAUACGUAGGUGGCAAGCGUUGUCCGGAAUUAUUGGGCGUAAAGCGCGCGCAGGCGGUCCUUUAAGUCUGAUGUGAAAGCCCACGGCUCAACCGUGGAGGGUCAUUGGAAACUGGGGGACUUGAGUGCAGAAGAGGAAAGCGGAAUUCCACGUGUAGCGGUGAAAUGCGUAGAGAUGUGGAGGAACACCAGUGGCGAAGGCGGCUUUCUGGUCUGUAACUGACGCUGAGGCGCGAAAGCGUGGGGAGCAAACAGGAUUAGAUACCCUGGUAGUCCACGCCGUAAACGAUGAGUGCUAAGUGUUAGAGGGUUUCCGCCCUUUAGUGCUGCAGCUAACGCAUUAAGCACUCCGCCUGGGGAGUACG
rnacentral:rRNA from 1 species